UCCUUAGUACGAGAGGACCGGGAUGGACACACCGCUGGUGUACCAGUUGUCUUGCCAAAGGCAUCGCUGGGUAGCUAUGUGUGGACGGGAUAAGUGCUGAAAGCAUCUAAGCAUGAAGCCCCCCUCAAGAUGAGAUUUCCCAUAGCGCAAGCUAGUAAGAUCCCUGAAAGAUGAUCAGGUUGAUAGGUCAGAGGUGGAAGCGUGGCGACAUGUGUAGCUGACUGAUACUAAUCGAUCGAGGACUUAACCAAAC
rnacentral:rRNA from 2 species